AAUGUCUAUCAACUGAUGACUGGAUAAAGAUGUAGUGUAUGUAUAUGUAUAUGUAUACAUACACACACACAUACACACACA
rnacentral:miRNA from 1 species